rnacentral:rRNA from 1 species
UACGGAGGGAGCUAGCGUUGUUCGGAAUUACUGGGCGUAAAGCGCACGUAGGCGGCUUUGUAAGUUAGAGGUGAAAGCCCGGGGCUCAACCCCGGAAUUGCCUUUAAGACUGCAUCGCUUGAAUCCAGGAGAGGUGAGUGGAAUUCCGAGUGUAGAGGUGAAAUUCGUAGAUAUUCGGAAGAACACCAGUGGCGAAGGCGGCUCACUGGACUGGUAUUGACGCUGAGACGCGAAAGCGUGGGGAGCGAACAGG